GACGAACGCUGGCGGCGUGCUUAACACAUGCAAGUCGAACGGAAAGGCCCUGCUUUUGUGGGGUGCUCGAGUGGCGAACGGGUGAGUAACACGUGAGUAACCUGCCCUUGACUUUGGGAUAACUUCAGGAAACUGGGGCUAAUACCGGAUAGGAGCUCCUGCUGCAUGGUGGGGGUUGGAAAGUUUCGGCGGUUGGGGAUGGACUCGCGGCUUAUCAGCUUGUUGGUGGGGUAGUGGCUUACCAAGGCUUCGACGGGUAGCCGGCCUGAGAGGGUGACCGGCCACAUUGGGACUGAGAUACGGCCCAGACUCCUACGGGAGGCAGCAGUGGGGAAUAUUGCACAAUGGGCGGAGGCCUGAUGCAGCAACGCCGCGUGCGGGAUGACGGCCUUCGGGUUGUAAACCGCUUUCGCCUGUGACGAAGCGUGAGUGACGGUAAUGGGUAAAGAAGCACCGGCUAACUACGUG
rnacentral:rRNA from 1 species